AUGCGGAGGGUUGGAGCUCGUGAGCGAAGGCGCUGAAUCCUGAGGGUCAGAUCUCCAAGAAGGAGGGAGGCUGGUCCUAGUUCCCGAGGUCCUAGACUAGGUCUAGAUCACUGGGUAAAAGAAGGGGAGCGGCAGCACGUAUGGGGUAGGCGCUCUCACUACUCACAUCUCGAGACCUUUGCCGGCGUAGGGCUGUCCGGGGGGAACGACCCGCCUUUUCCGGUAUCGGUUGUCAUGGCGGCGCCCAGCCCAGCCUGGUUUUUUCCGGUAGCCAAUUGAACUAACAACCCCGUUCCCUUUAGGACUAAUCUGUCACGGCGGCGCCCUACCUCUUCUUCCGGCCCGGCUCGUCAUGGCGGCGCCCUGAGUAGCCACUUCCGCCCUCUUCUGGCUAAAUUGCUUCAUCCCUAUUUCCGGCUUGCCAUGGCAGCGCUCGGGGUUUAACGGAAGUAAGCAAUGGAAAGUAUGGUGGUGCCUCGGGUCCAAAGAGAAUGCGCCGCUGAGUUGCGCGGCACCUGACGGGAUUGAGCCUCAGACACAAGCGCUCCAAAUCUCCGACUGUAGCUGGUGGGAAGCGCCUGCUGUUGCUGCAGCGUCUCAACAUGUUGUUCCCAUUUUCGUUGGGUGCUGUAGCGGUAGGCUGUUGGGCUCAGGGAUAGGGGGCCUGAUUCCUAACGCCGCGCUGCCACCAUCGGCCUUGCGCAGACGCUGAUAAUCCCCCUGGCACCCAGGUUCAUGCGAGCGCUUGGAACAGGAGGGAAGAGGGAGUCAAACCAAGAGCCGAACUAAUUCGGCUUGGGCCUGCCAUUUACCCAGCCUGGGACCCAGACGUUUCCCCAUCCCUUAGCGUACGCCAGGACAGACAUGGCGUUUAAUCCUGACUCCAUGAGACUAUCAAGCUAGUUACUUCCUCUCUUUGUAAUUAAUUCCUCCUAAUGUAGCAACAUUUCCCCCUUCCUUCUCAUCUGUCUUAAAAGUGUGAGGUUAGACCUGGGCGUGAGUUUCCCCACAUAAGAGACUGGAUAUCCCCUGGUCAGAGAACUGAGCAUCAGUCCUGCCGUUUCGUUUGCAGAUCUUUCAAGACUCUAGUCAAAAUGAGCAGAACAUUUUGCAGUUAAUCAUAGAGUUGAAGAUGAACGAGAAGAUGAACGAGAGCUACUUGAUUGUGAACUAGUAACGACCACUUGGAGUCGCAGUGUGUCUGUAAAAUGAUGAUGACAGUGACAUCAUAGAGGACAUAGUGCAAGUGAACAGUUUGAUACUGAGCUUGGAGCCUCAGUAGUUCUGGAUAAGUGAGAGCUGUACGGGAGGUUGUAACCAUGAGCUACCCUGGUUGGCAGUUGACAUCCGAGGACCAGCACUGGUCAUCGCACAGAAAGAAAACUUUACACCUUGAGAUCCCUCCAUUCUUCUUAAACUUCCAAGUGUAUGUUUGAUGGGAGAAGAGGGGAAGGGAUCAACAUUUAAAGGCUCUGGAAGGAGUCAGAUAACUGUUUUUGGCUUCAAAUGUAGAAUGAAUCCCUAGAUUUUCCUCUACUGAGAGAAUGAAAUCUUAACCCAUUCCGUUCCCUUGUUGGUACUCAGAAACGGAUACCCCAAAGAUGCAUUUUGACAUGCUGAAAGGCCUUAGAAGCUGCCUUAGAAGAUCUGUCUAACCUUGUCUUGUUGGUGUGUGGAAGUGGGAAUGCCCACAGGUGCACAGGGAGGGAGUUUCUGAAAUUAUCUGACCGAGAAAGCAAAAAAAAAAAAUCAAUUGUCUUAAACCCGGUUUCUAGGGAUCUCAUUAAAGAACUAGGAAAAAUUAACCACCUGUUAACAGAAAAACCAAACUGAAAUGUUUUAAAGAGAUUUAUUUUGAGCCAAUAUGAGUGACCAUGGCCUGGGGAACACAGGCUCAAGAGGUCCUGAGAAAGUGUGCCUGAGACAGUAGAAUUACAGUUUGGUUUUGUACAUUUUAGGUGGACAGGAGUUACAGACAAAGACAUAAAUCAGUACAUGGAAGGUACAGAUUGUGUUCAGCUGGGUGCAGUGGCUCACGCCUGUAAUCCCAGCACUUUGGGAGGUCGAGGUGGGCGAAUCGCUUGAGGUCAGGAGUUCGAGACCAGCCUGGCUAACAUGGUGAAACCGUGUCUCUACAAAAAAUACAAAAAAUUAGCCAGGGAUGGUGGCAGGCACCUGUAGUCCUGGAGCUACUCAGGAGGUUGAGGCACGAGAAUUGCUGCGGAGGUUGUAGUGAGCCGAGACCACACCACUGCACUCCAGCCUGGGUGACAGAGCAUGACUCUGUCUCAAAAAAAAAAAAAAAAUUCUACGGUAUUUUUAUAAUACAUUUUGUAGUACCACUUAUAACCACUUGGGUGCGUGGGUUGCCCAUUAAAUCAAACAGUUUACAGUUCACCCUUGAACAACAUGGAUUUAAACUGUACUGGUCCACUUAUACUCAGAUUUUCUUCUGCCGCUGUCACUCUGAGACAGCAAGACCAACCCCCCUUCCUCUCCUCAGCCUACUCAAUGUGAAAAGGACAAGGAUGAAGGCCUUUAUGAUGAUCCACUUCCACUUAAUGAAUAGUAUAUUUUAUCUUCCUUACGAUUUCCUUAAUAACAGUUUCUUCUCUCUACUUUACUAUUGCAAGAAUACAGUAUAUAAUGCAUAUAACAUACAAAAUAUGUGUUCAUCUAUGUCAUCAGUAAGACUUCAGAUCGACAGUAGGCUAUUAAUAGUUAAGUUUUGGGGGAGUCAAAAGUUAUAUGUGGAUUUUCUACUGCAUUGUUUAAGGGUCAACUGUAGAUUCAACGACUACCUAGGAUUGUAGAGUUGACUGAUAGCACUGGGACUGAUGAUAACAUCAUAACCUGUAAGAAGUGUCAACAAUGGUGAUGGACCCCCAGCAACCCUGGAGUGGGGAUGUCUAAAGAUAGAUGUCAUCCACCAGGCAGGAGUUGGUGCUGCCAGUGUGUCAUGUACUGCAGCCUCUUUUAUUUAUUUAUUUAUUUUUAUUUAUUUUUUGAGACAGCAUCUCGCUUUGUCACCCAGGCUGGAAUGCAGUGGCACAAUCUCGGCUUACUGCAACCUCCACCUCCCGGGUUCAAGCGAUUCUUCUGCCUCAGCCUCCCAAAUAGCUGGGACUACAGGUGCGCACCACCACGCCAGGCUAAUUUUUGUAUUUUUAGUAGAGACGGGGUUCCAUCAUAUUGGCCAGGCUGGUCUCAAAGUCCUGACCUCGUGAUCCGCCCAUGUCGGCCUCCCAAAGUGCUGAGAUUACAGGUAUGAGCCACAGCGCCUGGCCUGCAGUCCCUUUUACUACAACAAAUAUGGGAAAGAGUCACAGGUGUGGCAUACGGUGGUGGCUUCUGCGUUAGAAACAUAGGCCAAGUACAGUGGCUCAUGCCUAUAAAUCUCAGCACUUUGGGAAACUGAGGUGGCCAGACUGCUUGAGCCCAGGAGUUUGAGAUCAGCCUGGGCAACAUGGCGAAAUUCUGUCUCUACAAAAAGUACAAAAGUUACCCGGGUGUGGUGAUGUCAUAGGUAGUAGAUUUAUCCUUCAAACAUCAACAACUAAAAAAUCUGGACAAAAUAGGAGACAACAGAGUUCAGACAUUGGAAACAAGCAUUGUAGCACAGUGGUCCCCAAGAGAAAGGAGACAAAUGAAGUGACCUUAGUGGCCCGGCUUAUGUCUGGAGAGUUAGUUUCUAGGCUACAUAGCCCAGGGGUGUCCCUGAGUUGGGACAAAGUUGAGAAUUUGGAGAGGCCAAGGCAGCUAGUUUGUAAGGCAGGGUACCAGAGAGUAGCGCAGCACAGACCUGCAAAGGGUUUCCUGCACGUGUAGCGCACAGCAUGCCUGUGAACACACUCCUGGAAACCAAGGGAACUACCAGGAAGGUGCAGGCAGAGCAAUCCCCGGAGCCAUAGUGGAGACCAUCACUGUGCACUGGCUAAACUACUCAAAGAUACUGCCUGUCUAGUGAGGCAAAAUUAGCCCUAAUGGCCGCUCUGGUCUCACCUAAGUAAGCUCAGAAACACUGAAGCAAGCUCUCAGUUCGAAGGAAAAUGGAAAUCUGGCAUAUGAAAUCAAGAUCUCCAGAUACAGUAAAUAUAACUCUUAUGACAAAAUAGCACAAAGGCCAAGAGACAGGAAAGUGUGUGCUGUUGCUAAGUUGUUCUACUACCUGUGAAGUGGUAGAAUAUUACAUAAAAGUGUGACAAGUCUAAAGAUGUACACUAGAAAUUUUAAGAGAAACAACAAAAAAUGAAAAUGGAGGUAGGGUUAAUAAGCCAACAAAGGAGAUAAAAAUGAAAUAAUACAAAAUAAAUUAGCCCCGCACAAGUAUGGCCAUCUGAUUUAAACCCUGUCACUCCAGCUGGAGUGCAGUGGCGUGAUCACGGCUCACUGCAGCCUCGACUCCCAGGCUUAGACGAUACUCCCACCUCAGCCUCCUGGGGAGCUGGGACUACAGGUGCACACCACCAUGCCUGGCUAAUUUUUUUAGUAGAGAUGGGGUCUGGCUGUGUUGCCCAGGCUGGUCUCAAACUCCUGGGCUCAAGCAAUCAUCCCACUUCAGCUUCUCAAAGUGCAGGGAUUACAGGCGUGAGCCAGUGCACCCGGCCUAUGGCCAUCUGAUUUUUGACAGAAGUGCAGAAGUAAUUCAAUAGAGAAAGGAUCGUUUUCAAGUAACAGUCCUGGAGCAAUUGGAUAUCUAUUGGCAAAAAAAAAAAAAAAAAAAAAAAAAAAAAUCUUGAUCUAAACCUUACACUUUGUACAAAAAUGAACUCUUAAGUGGAAAAUGGAUCAUAGAUUUAAAUAUAAAGCAUAAAACUAUAAAACCUUUAGAAAAUAACAUAUGAGAAAAUCUUUGGGCUAGGUGAAGAGUUCUUAGACACAACACCAAAAACCUGUCAAUUGGGCUUCAUCAAAAUUUAAAUUUGUUUCUCUGCAAAAUACCUGUGAAGAGGAUGAAAAGACAAACUAUGAACUGGGAGAAAAUAUUUGCAAAGCACUUGUAUGACAAAGGCUUUAUAUCUGGAAUAUAUAAUGAAGUCUUGAAAUUCAACAGUAAGAAGACAAACAAUCCAAUUAAAAAAUGAACAGCAGACAUUUCACUGAAGAUACACAGAUGGCAAAUAAACACAUGAAGAGAUGUUCAACAUUUUCAGCCAUUAGAGAAAUGCAAAUUAAAGCCACAAUGAGAUAUCACUACACAUCUAUCAGAAUGGCUAAAAUAAGAAAUAGUGGGCUGGUCCAAGUGCAAUGGUGUUGCAACAAAUUGAUCACAACCACUUACAGAUUUAUUUGUUCUUUUUCCACUCCCACUGCUUCACUUGACUAGCCUUAAAAAAAAAGUGACAUCACCAAAUGCUGGUUGGUCAGAAUGCCAAGAAAUGAAUCACUUAUACAUUGCUGGUAGGAAUGUAAAAUGGCACAGCCACUCUGAAAAGUUUGGCAGUUUAUUAAAUGAAAUAUGCAACUACCAUAUGACCCAGCAAUCCCAGUCUUGAACACUUG
rnacentral:lncRNA from 1 species